UAACAUUUACUCUCUAUUGAUGAGAGAUGUAUCUAACCGGCUCACAGAAAUUCUGAAGUCCUAACAAUUGGCUUGUAUGAUACGUGUCGCACAAUUCAAGCAGACCACGGUCUCAUCCUAUUCAGACUGCUUUUGAGUAGAUCCCACCAAGGUGACGGAUCAGCAUUUGCACCUUCCACCAUCUAGGAAAGCAUCGAGAAGGCCUCUGGCAGAUGGCAGAUGCUGACACUUUGAUGUUAUACUUCCUAGCUGCCAGAACUAUUUAACAUUUACUCUAUAAAAAGAAGAUUGGGAGAGACCAGUACAUAAGCACAGGAUAAUGAUAAUGAUCUCGAGAAAGAAGAGAAAGCAGAGGGAGAAGGGCCAGCAGCUUCCUCCACACCAACAGAGGUAAGGGCUUGUUGAAUAUGCCUUGUCAGAAAGGUCAAGUAAAGCGCUAUGGCUGCACAACUAGGUACCAGAAAAUCAUCUGGGUUGGUUUUUUUCAAGUGUGAGAAAACCCACUUGAAUGUCCCCAGUAAGGUAAGGAAAGGUCUGUGCACCAAGAAGUACUCAAGGAUGUUUAGUUGAGGGAAAAGCAGGGGGACUGCCUGCUACAGGCUGUGCUUGAAUAGGUGCCCCUUGCUGGAACUCUUCCACACCCAUCUCUCAGCCUUCACAUCUAUUCCUCCUGCCACUUCUCACAUCCAUGGGUCCCACUGCCUCUCGGUAAGGAAACACGGAACUGUAUGAAGACAAGGCUCUCCAGUGAAUAAAUAUCUAUAUAGCAAGACAAACUGGAUUGGUAAAGAAGUGCUGAGGAUGGGAUCUAUGGAAUUCAAACCAUUUGAGAUGACUUCUCUUGAGGAAGCCAUUUACUAUCUCUUGAAAAUUUCCAGUCAUGUUACAGAUAGAGGUUGAGUUUGUGUUAACUGAAAUGUUUGGGGCCAAGGGUGUUGAGAUGGGUGCAAAUACAUGAAGAGGUAUCCUAAGGAUGGGACCCAUGUUUAAAUAUAAAAUCCAUCUCUCUGCCAUAUUCACCUUACAUACACAGAGCAAACAGAGUUUUUACUACUCCUGUGCAGGAAACAACGUAUCAUGCUGUAGUUUUGUGUUCAUGGCCUCAGGUUGGCACUCAAAAGGUUUUGGAGUUUGGAGCAUUUGAGUUUCAAAUGACCAGAUUAAGGGUUUUCAGUUGGUAUCUUAAAACUGUACAGCCCUUUAGUCUUUCUUAGAGGGAAGGCAUACCAUGGGGGCUAAAGGCUUAUACUCUGGAGUCAGAAAACUUGGCUCCAAAUAUGGACACCAUCCCCUACCAGCCUUAGGACUGUAAACAAAUUAUUUGACUUCUCUAAGCUUUUUGUUUCUUAUCUCUGAGAUAGGCAUGCUAAUGCCUCUACUUGCACCUCAUGCUGUGUAACUAUGCAGACUGAAUAAAGCACUGAGCUUAGUAUGUGACACACAGUUCACACACUAAAACAUUAGUUAUAUAUUAAAUACUCCAUAUUUAUAAAGAACAGAAUGAAUUCUUAAUUGUUUUAGGUAUAAGCUACGAUUCAGUUAUAGCCUAAGUACAGCUAACUAUGGGGAACAAGAAUCCCUUACUCUUACUAUUCUCUGAUUACUAGUAGCAUUAUUUUAAUAAUUAAAACCACUUCUUUAUCUGUCUUCUCAGUCGAUCCUCUCCAGAACCCUAAGAGGCAUCAGCAGAGGCAUCAUUAGCUUUAUUUUACAAAAGUAGUAUGUUGGAGAUAUUAGGAGAGAUAUUAGGCAACGUGUCUGUUUUUAGCCUAAAUGCUUGUAAAAAGGCUGGACAUCGUGGCGCUUACCCGUAAUCCCAGUAUUCAGGAGGUUGAGUCAGAAGAAUUACAAGUUUGAGGCCAGCCUGGUAUAGAUAGUGAGAUUCUGUCUCUGAAAACAAAAUAAAAACUUUAUGAAAGGGUAUUUACUGUAAGACUUAGCUAGGGUCUGGAAUAGUGCCAAAAAGAGGGACUUAAUACUGUAGCCUUAACUUAUAAUAAACACAAGAUCUGGACAAUAAUAGAAAGGAAUGGAUAAACGAAUGGGUUAACAGCUGGAAUAAGAACUGUAUGCACUGAACUUUAUGUUUUUCAGCCCCUAUCUCUUCCUGCUAUGACUGCCCUGAUAUACUAGCAGCUCAUUCCCAGAAAGGACUUGGAUGCAAAGGCUAAACAGUUAGACCAGAUACAUAGAUAGGAUGAGUGACUAACGGCCACCAUUCACUUUAUUGGGUGACACUAAGAGGCAGAUGCCAUACUUAUCUCCAGAUCCUGGAUCUGUUAUCUCUGGCAAAGUGAAGUAAAGUCCAAGAGGAGACGAAACACCUGAUAUUCUUAAAUAACCGAGACAGCUAACAUAAGAGGACACAGUAGCCUAAAUGGCUCCAUGAGGCUCCCGUAGCCAACCAAGGAGCCUCUUCCAAUCAGUAGCCAAACACUUUUCUUAAAUAUUUUCUUUUUUUUUUCUUUUUUUUUCGGAGCUGGGGACCAAACCCAGGGCCUUGAGCUUCCUAGGCAAGCGCUCUACCACUGAGCUAAAUCCCCAACCCCUAACACUUUUCUGUUAGGUUAGUCUGCCAGUCUGUUAAUGAUGGGUGGCAUAACUCCCUCAAGGGUCUUCAGCUUUACUUGAAUAAGCCUCUGUUUUAGAAACUAAAGGCACCAUAGAGUUGCAAUUAUAAGAAAAGCUGCACCAAUCUGCUCAUCCCAGAGCAAGCCUAGGAACAUAACAGAAAGGCAGGCCAGCAAGUCAAGCUUUCCUCUCGGGGGCACUGACCCAGAACAUCUCUUUCAGUAAAGAUUACAAGCAUGCUUGUCCCAGUAUCAGUUUUAAACUACCGCGAAAUGCUAUAAGGAUGAAAUAUCAUUUUAUUUUUUUUUCUGGAAGGAAAACCAGCUUCAAAGACUUCUGUGAACCUCCAUGCCACUGCUUGAUUUUUAAAGGAAUUGUCCCAGCGAGAUGAGGGCCAUCGACAGGAGGCAAAGGGUCCUGGGAUGAGAGUGUACCAAGAUAUUACAUAUUUCCCCAGGGAACUGAGGGUACACAGACAUGAUCUUAGCAUUUCCUACUGUCUGAGGGCAUAAAUGCGAUCCAGUCCAAAUA